UACAGAGGUCUCAAGCGUUGUUCGGAUUCAUUGGGCGUAAAGGGUGCGUAGGCGGCGCGGUAAGUCGGGUGUGAAAUUUCGAGGCUUAACUUCGAAACUGCAUUCGAUACUGCCGUGCUUGAGGACUGGAGGAGGAGACUGGAAUUCAUGGUGUAGCAGUGAAAUGCGUAGAGAUCAUGAGGAAGACCAGUGGCGAAGGCGGGUCUCUGGACAGUUCCUGACACUGAGGCACGAAGGCCAGGGGAGCAAACGGG
rnacentral:rRNA from 1 species